rnacentral:RNase_P_RNA from 13 species
AGUGGGAAGCUCAGCGGAGGGGCCACGGGCGGAGUGCGCAUGCGUCACUCUCUGGCCAGCCCUUGGGAAGGUCUGAGACGAGGGCCAGCGGCGGCCCUAGCAGGGCCCCCCCCGAGCCGCGGGGGGGUGAGUUCCCAGAGAAGGGGGCCUCGCGCGGGGGCCGACCGGGCAGGAGAAGCCGCGCCGCGCUGGCGCCCCCUAGCGUCCGCCCGGCCCGCGGCGGAUGCCCCUCCCGCCGGGGCUUGGAAACGACUCACGGCCGGCGGGCUGAGUGCAAUGGCUGAGGGGGGGCACGGUUGCUUUGCCGCCGGCUCCCUAACCCAAUUCAGACUACUCUUCCCUGCCACU